GGCUCCCGCGCCGUCUCUCACGGAGGAGGACUUAACUGAAGUGAAGAAGGACGCCUGAAGUGCAGUAGCUGUGAGCCCUUCGCAGCUGGAGCCACCAACAACCUUUCUAGGUCCAAUUCUGAUGAGAGCAACUUCUCCGAGAAACAGAGACCAUCCACGGUCAUCUACCAUCCAGAGGGAGAGUCGAGCACUGCUCCCUUCUUCUCUACCGAGUCAUCCCUGAAUCUGCCGGUCCUGGAAGUUGGCAGGCUGGAAAACAGCAGCUUCUCUUCAGCCUCGCUUCCUCGGCCUGGGGACCCUGGGGCCCCCCCUUUGCCCCCA
rnacentral:lncRNA from 1 species